UAGAAAUUACUAUUUUCUAGCGCGUCCAAUUCAAUAAAAAGGAAAUUACCCAAACAAAAACCGGUCAAUAAAUUUUAAGAUACUUUAAUUCUAAGAGUGCGAUUUUCUCCCGGCGCAUCCACCAAAAUGAAAGUAUAGAUAUAACGAAACUAUUUGCAGUCAGUAACUAUUCAUUUUUAGAAAACUAAAUUUCUCUUAUUGUAUUUGCUUCUGAUGUGUUAAAUAUUAAUCGAUUAGCUGUCAUCAUUUGAAGGUACAUCCCUUGUCACUCUCACUGCAAACAAUGAUAGUAUGAGUAAAUCCAGUGUCCAUCAAUGUUUGUAGCAGGCUUCAAAUUAUUCAUUUAAAAUAAGAGUUAUUUAUUCAUUAGACGGUGAUGUGGGUUACUGGGGAUUUCAAAGACUUUGCUUCAAUACACCCGAAUCGAUAAAAAAUUGAUUCCAUCACGGAAAUUUAAAUAGUAAUUUUUGUAUUAAGUGCGCGAAAUGAGUGUUUUUUUAAUGGCGCCUGAGAAUGUUAUUUUAGUCGAGACCGCCAGGUCGAGACCUAAAAGACAUUCGAAGGCGCCAUUAAAACAUGAAUUUCGCCACGAAAUACAAACAACGUUUUUUCUACAGCCUCCAGAUGAAGAAAAAAGUAACAGAAAUUAGUUGGAACAAAAUGGUCUGAUAAAUCGAGUUGCUUGCAUGGUUACGAUGAUAAAUAAAAGUGAUAGUUGCGAAAAAUUUGUCACAAUAGGUAUUUUUGUUGAAGAAGUGUGAUGGAUUUUAGCAGCGAAAACGAAAUAGAUGCAAUUGCAAGCGCGGCAGUGUCGAAUCUUUUGCCUGCUAAAUCAAGACCGCAGUACGAAAAAACGUAUCUUCAGUUUCGGCAGUGGUGUUCUAUGAAAAAGAUUGAUCAAGUAACGGAAAAUGUUUUGUUGGCGUAUUUGGAAGAAAAGUCUACCACCUUAAAGCCACCAACACUCUGGGCCCUUUAUGCGAUGUUGAAAGCCACCUUAAACGUUAAAGAGAAUAUCGAUACACAAGCAAGAAGUCGCAAAUUUUAGACAAAGAAGACAUUAGCAAGUUUAUUAAUGAAGCAGAUGACAAGAUAUAUUUACUGAUGAAGGUAAACUUAUCAUAUUAGUGUAAUACAAAUCAAAACAACUCGUUUUAUUUAUAGACUGUGCUAAUUUUGGGUAUAUCGGGAGCCCUUCGACGUGAAGAAUUAGUUAAAAUGAAGCUAACUGACAUAGAAGAUAAACAGUCUGUCUUAAUUGUGAAGGUGCCUGAUACAAAAACCCACUGCGAACGAAUAUUUACUGUUUCAAAUUUAGAAAAUAUAGAAAUUGUCAGAAAAUAUAGAGCUUUGCGGCCUCCACGGGCGACUAGUGACCGUUUAUUUUUAAAGUAUACCAACGGAAAAUGUGUGAAUCAAAAUGUUGGAAUUAACAAAAUCGGAGAGAUACCAAGUUUGAUUGCAAAGUGGCUUAACAAAGACGAACCUAAAAAAUAUACUGGUCACUGCUUCAGAAGAAGCUCUGCCACUCUUUUGGCGAAUGCUGGAGGUGAUCUAAUUUCAAUUAAACGUCAUGGGGGCUGGAGAAGCAGCACAGUGGCAGAAAGUUACAUCGAGGACUCUUUGAAUAAUAAAAUUGAAAUUGCCAAUAAAAUUCAACCUUCUUCCUCCACAGAAGAAAACAAAAUCACUCAACCUUCUACAUCGGCUUCUUUUAAUGGCGAAAAUAACUUUCAUUUACAAGCGUCUUCACUCAGGCCUCUGGGGAUAAACGGGGGCACGUUUUCGUCAUGCACAUUUAAUUUUCAUAUGUCAAAGUAAAUAUCUAUUAUUAUUGUUUUGUAAUAUUGUUCUGUAUAAUUAUAAAACCUUUAAAACUA